rnacentral:lncRNA from 1 species
ACUUAAAGAAAAGAUCUUGCAUUGGAGUUACCCAGCAGCUGGCAAUGAUUAUUCUACAGCGGUCUUUUGUCUUCGUGCUGCGUGCCAGGU